CACACUCAGGUUGCUGUUCACUAUGCAGCCUCUCACUGACUUGCGUUUCCUCUCUCCAGUGCAUCUGGGUCUGCUCCAUGGUGUGUUCGGCUAGACCAAAACCACCUCACUCUUGCCCCGCAAUACUCUACCCUCUUUUAAAAUUACUAACAAAACAUGGAGAAAGCUGUUCCAGAGUUUUGAUGAUCUUUACCACACACACUCGCAGAAUUGACUGGUGGAGGGAAAGCGAUCGUUUGGCGAUCUCUAUAGGAGCUUCCGCAGAACAUUAGGUAAUACUCCAGUAAAUAGCUAGUGGCAGUAGAUAAUGUGGCUUUUCAUGCAGUAGAGUGUAUAGGACGGCCAUUAAUAAAAAGGACUCCCUUAAUUAUGGAGUAUUAAAAUUUUUAUGAUUUCUCUAGUACCUAGAGGUAUUGUAGCCUCGAUCCCAGGCUGCAUGCACUUUUCUCAAGGCCUAUGAGGAGGCUAGGAGUAUUGUAGCCAUGCUUACGUAGGUAUUCACUCAAUUGUGUUGACAGGAUUGUCUUCUUUCAAAUCAGAGGCACGUACAUACCCUGGUUCUAUUGAGAAACUCUAUGAUGAUGGUGGAGUCAGUGGAUCCCGUCGGACAUUAAUUAAACCCCCUCAUCGACAAUUCACUGUUUCUAUCACCACACACCCUGCAUGUUUACUGAACAUUUAAUUAUCUCUGUUAUAAAACACGUACCCCCCACACACACACACAUACCCCCCACACAAAUUAUCUCUGUUAUGAUUACAAAUUUGCCUUCAUGAGAACAAUUCUGUAUGGUGUUGCAUUGCAGC